AUUGAACGCUGGCGGCAGGCCUAACACAUGCAAGUCGAACGAGUGGCGGACGGGUGAGUAAUGUCUGGGAAACUGCCUGAUGGAGGGGGAUAACUACUGGAAACGGUAGCUAAUACCGCAUACCAUCAGAUGUGCCCAGAUGGGAUUGGUUUGUUGGUGGGGUAACGGCUAACCAAGGCGACGAUCCCUAGCUGGUCUGAGAGGAUGACCAGCCACCCUGGGACUGAGACACGGUCCAGAGUCCGCCGGGAGGCAGCAGUGGGGAAUAUUGCACAAAGGGCGGAAGCCUGAAGCAGCCAGGCAGCGUGUAUGAAGAAGCCCUUCGGGUUGUAAAGUACUUUCAGCGGGGAGGCGUAACCCGCAGAAGAAGCACCGGCUACCUCCGUGCCAGCAGCCCCGGUAUUU
rnacentral:rRNA from 1 species